AAUAUGCGCCUCAUUAGGUUUUUUCAAGAGACUUCUCACAAACCCUAACCAAACUAUCCAUCAUCCCUGAUAGUCAGAGGCGAAGUUCAAGAUUUUCCAACAUGCUGCUGCUCAACAAUUAACAGUUUCCAAACUCCUCAUCCAUAAUUCUCGCAUGAUGGUUCUGGAAACUCAACUAGACGGUGUGAUUUUAUACCGCAAACCCUAAUUCUAAGAGAGAAAGAUUUCAAAGGGGAAUGAUGAUGAAAACUAUGGUGUUCUUGUGCAGCUGAUUCUGGAAUAGUACUCGGGUUUCAAGAUUUUGUUUUUGGUUUCAUUCAUCCAGAGGAUUCGCCACUGAAUCUGAUGUGGACGACGUCGUUGUGAUCGGACGAUACGUGGCAACAAUUAACGCCGCUCAAAACCACCUGUAUUAAGAAACGGGGGUGUCGUUGGUGGUACUUGCCACCAUGCCGGCUGUAUCCCUUCUAAGGAUAGGAGCAUCUUUAUUCUUCUCAUGAAACCCAAGACCAAGUUUGCAAAUCAUGGCAUAAAGUGUGAGAGUGCAAAGAUGAAUCUCGCUGCCAUGAUGGCCCAUAAGGACAAAGUCGUCUUUAAGAUAACAAAAGGCGUCGAAUCCCUUUUCAAGAAGAAUAAGAUGGUUUCUCCAACCGAAACAUUGCCAAGACUUUAAUGGAAGUAGAGAUGAGCGAAUGGUACCUGAUAUCGGUUCUGGUACCAAAUUUCCCGAGUCAACUCAAUUUACGGUAUUAAUUUGGUAUCGACAUUUUACAUUUUCGGUACCGGUCCAGUACCGCUUUGGUACCGGCAAAUACCAAUUUUUAUCUUCAAAUACUGGUACCGAACCGUACUGUACCAGGUAUUUUCGAUCCCGGUAACUGGUACUGAGCUCAUCCCUAAACGGAAGUUGUUGGUUGGUAUCUCCACCUCAAAUGGUAGAAAGUGUAAAAGAAGAUGAAUAAUGAGGUUGUGGUUCCUGAUUUAGCAGGGAAUCAACAUUUGAGAACGAACAUCAAUGGAUUGGUCUAGAUAUACAAAUAAGACUACCCAUGUGGUGUACAAUGAAAAUUUUAAUGAAAUUUGAAUUAUUUGUUGUAUUUUUUUACCUAUCAUGUGUAUUUUUAAGUUAUUUUAUUAUUAAUGUUGAAUUUAUUUUUAUUUAU